rnacentral:tRNA from 1 species
GGCGAGAUAGCUCAGUUGGUUAGAGCGCAUGAUUCAUAAUCAUGAGGUC